AUGAGCCGUGUGAUGGGAAACCUUCCCGCACGGUUCGGAGAGCACUGAAUUAGAAUGAGAGGCGCUUGUAGGAGACUAGGAGGGGGGCCAGCCGUCAAGUAGAAAGGAGAGAUGAGGGCACAUAAGUUUACCAAAAGACAGUCGGCUUAUACGAU
rnacentral:ncRNA from 1 species